UAAGGAAUCUGAGGCACAGAGGUAUUAGUACCUUGCCCAAAGUCACCUAGCUCAUAAGUGAUGGAGUCAGAAUUUUAAUGGAGCCUCAAAUUCUGAAUCCAGCAUCAAGGCUCUUCCCAACUGGACCACAGCCUUCCUUAAUGUUCUCAAAACACUCUCCUCCUCAUCGCGACCACCCUUGAGAACUUCGGACUAUGCACCAUGCAGGUUCUUGCCUUUGUUUCUUGCUUUCCAAUGUGAUUUGGUGCAUGCGUAGUCGGGAAUCUGACCCGCCCAAAGUGACGUUCAGCCUCUGUUCCAGAUUCCAGAGGAGCUUCCUGCCAUAGCACUAUGACUAUGGAUAAGUGUUUGGAGAUAUGUUUCAUCAUAAAUACUCUCAUUUACACUGACAAUGAGCAUUGAAUAAAAUUGCUAAAUUUUACAUAGGGCUUUACACAGUGCUUCAUAUAGUGUUCAUACUUACUCAUCUCCUGAAGAGUAUCUAAGUGCUCAAUGAAAUUGAAGAAGUUUUAUUUGUGUGGUCUUCUUACUAUAGCAGUAUAUUUUGGGGAUGAUUGUCUAAUUCUAGGUUUUAAUAAAAACAGAUUUUUUGGAAAGGUCUAAUGGGGCAGGAACCUUAUAGCUCGGGCUAAUUCCAUUCGGAUAUGAUCACUAGAGAAACAGGAACAAUAUGAAUCAGCAUUUGGCAAUUAUCCUCAUGAAUCAGUCAAAAGAGAGGAAACCACACUCUUGGCAAGAGUCAUUAGGGAGGCAAGAUUUAUAAGUAAUACUUUUUGUGGAGUUUUGCUGAAUAUAAAUAUAAAUGACAUGUAAGAAAAGGGAAAAGUCAAUGUCAAUCUGCGACCGUCUCCAAAAAAAACAACCAAAAAAAGCCCCCCAAAACCCAAGCAUUAUUCACUUUCUAGUGGCAUUGUGCUUCUUG